GCCGGGUGCGGUGGCAUGUACCUGUAAUCCAAGUCACUGGGAGGCUGAGGUUGGUGGAUCAAGUGAGCUGAGGAGCUCUGGGCUGCAGCACGCUAUGUCGAACGGGUGUCCACGCUAAGUUCGGUAUCGAUAUGGUGUUCCUGGGGGAGCCCGGGACCACCAGGUUGUCUAAGGAGGGGUGAACCGGCCCAGGUCGGAAACGAAGCAGGUCAAAUCCCCCGUGCUGUCCAGUAGUGGGAUAAUACCUGUGAGUAGAUGCUGCAGUGCAGCCUUGGCAAAACAUCGAGACCUAAUCUUUU
rnacentral:SRP_RNA from 1 species